GCGCGGCUCCCUGUGGAGCCUGCCUGUUGGAGCGCGGCGGGGCUCCGGCGGUGGUCUUGGAGCUGGCGUGUGGAUUUCCACGUCCGAAUGAUCGAGUUGUGGCGGGCUUUGAGGUGCUGCGUGGCGGGGAGGAGAGCAGCCUGGGUCGCUGUAACUCUUAGGGGGCCUUUGCAGGCUCCCAGCCUUUGGUUGGACGGGAAUUUUACGAAGGAGAAGGGUCCUCGGAAACGUGAUGUCAGAGGAUUUAGCAAAGCAGCUGGCAAGCUACAAAGCUCAGCUCCAGCAAGUUGAAGCUGCAUUAUCUGGAAAUGGAGAAAAUGAAGAUUUGCUAAAAUUGAAGAAAGAUUUACAAGAAGUUAUAGAACUAACCAAAGACCUUCUGUCAACUCAACCUUCUGAGACGCUUGCAAGUUCAGACAGUUUUGCUUCUACUCAACCUACUCAUUCAUGGAAAGUAGGAGACAAG
rnacentral:lncRNA from 1 species